rnacentral:lncRNA from 1 species
GGAGCUGUAGCCACCGGCCUGCGCCAGAGCCACAGCAACGCGGGAUCCGAGCCGCGUCUGCAACCUACACCACAGCUCACUGCAACGCCGGAUCGUUAACCCACUGAGCAAGGGCAGGGUCCAAACCCGCAACCUCAUGGUUCCUAGUCGGAUUCGUUAACCACCGCGCCACGACGGGAACUCCUUUUUUUUUUUUUUUAAGAAGAGGGAAUUUUCAAAGAGGUUGAGGAUGCGGGAACAAUUGCUGAGGAUAGGCUAGGAGUUCAGAUGCCAGAACGAGAGCAUUUGAAGAGGAUGGGGAAGGGUGGAAGAUAAAGUCAGAAUAAUGACAUUACAGAAGAAUUGGGGAUUGGCAUCCAUGCAAGGGACCUGUGAGACUUGGACUUAUGAUGACAUUGGUGGGUAACAGCAUUGUGAGCCAUGCUGCAUUUGGUCCAGAACAGGUGGCAACUGAAGAUUCUGAAUGGCUGCCUUAGGCUGUAGUCAGAAGCACAGGGCAACUGGAAUUGUAGAGGUAAAAGCUUUGAGUUAUUAAUCUAAUCUACUUCUUAAUCCAAAUUUAGUAUUUUUCUCUUCCAUUUAGUUGGGUCUCUUCUACCAUAAUAUUUUUUAAAGCUGCUAUUUGAUGAAAACUUGCUCCUCCUACGUGUUUUCCUUUCCCUAAAAGAAUGCUUCUUGGAGAAUGUAAAUUUUGAAUAAUGUCUGGAAGAGACUUUGCUUUGAUGGAAAGUAGAAUAUAGUGUAUUUUGGUCUGGUGGUCAUAGUUGCAAUGAAUAAAGAAAUUUCAAGUUAUUUCAAUUUAUUAUGAAGCUGCCCUUGGGAAAAUAAAUGGAUUCUCAUGGAAACUUGGGAAGAGAAGCCAUACUAAGGUCUUACAAAACCUAGAACUUGAUAAGGAGAGUUAGUUUCUCAGGAUCUCUUGAAAACUUAGAAUUUACAGUUAACAGAUUUAUCCUUAAAGACUUUGCAGUUAUGACUUGGCCAUGCUGUAAGGAGUUUUGGUUCUAGUGUUUCUCAAUUUUCCAAUUGUGAAUUUUUUACUUCCUAUUAUAAUCAACAGAGAGAAUCUGAUUAGCUCUCAUGUCAGACCUAGUGAUGUGAUUAAGUAUCCCAUGGAAAAAUUACUUCUAAUCAGGGACCAGUUCUGCUUCAAUUAGCCAAGGUUGGGAAUGAGGGGGAUGUGAUUAUGUGGCUUCUUGGGCAGCAGAGGUUGUGGGUGGGCAAAAUCCCCUAGAGUGACACAAGAGCACAGGGACAAUGGUUACCAUCACUAACUACUAAGUUAUUUCAGACCAGAAAAAACAUGGACAAGUGCCUGAAAUUUAUAUUUUUGGAUUAAAGAGCCAUCAUCAGCAUUCUGGAUUCAUGUACAUUUCAUCUUCUUUUUUUAAUAUAUAUAUUUUAAUUAAAGUACAGUUGAUUUACAAUAUUAUGCCAAUUUCUACUAUAUAGCAAACUGACUCUAUCACAUAUAUCUAUCUAUAUAGAUAUAUAUUCUUUUUUAUAUUAUCUUCCAUCGCAGUGUCUGUUCCAGGAGAUUGGAUAUAGUUCCUCAUGCUAUGCAGUAGGAUCUCACUACUUAUCCAUUCAAAUAGAAUAGUUUUCAUCUACUAACCCCAAACUCCUGGUCCAUCCCACGACCUCCACCUCCCCUUUGGCAACCAUGAGUCUGUUUUCCAUGUCUGUGAGUCUGUUUCUAUUUUGUAGAUAGGUUCAUCUGUGCCAUAUUUUAGAUUCACAUAUAAGUAUUAUCAAAUGGUAUUUGUCUUUCUCUGACUUACUUUACUUAGUAUGGUAAUCUGUAGUUGCAUCCAUGUUGUUGCAAAUGGCAUCAUUUUGUUCAUUUUUAUGAUUGAGGAGUACUCCAUACUAUGUAUGUAGUAUAUCUUCUUAAUCCAUUUCUCUGAUAAUGGAUGUUUAGAUUGUUUCCAUGUCUUAGCUAUUGUGAAUAGUGCCGCAAUGAACAUAGGGGUUCAUGUAUCUUUUUGAACGAAAGCUUUGUCCAGAUAUGUUCCCAGGAGUGGGAUUGAUGGAAUAUACGGUAGUUUUAUUUUUAGUUUUCUGAGGACCCUCUAUAUUGUUUUCCAGAGUGGUUAUACCAAUUUGCAUUCCCACCAAGAGUGUAGGAAGGUUCCCUUUUCUCCACACCCUCUCCAGCAUUUUUUUAUCUGUAGACUUAUUAAUGAUGGCCAUUCUGACUGGUUUGAAGUGAUACUUCAUUGUAGUUUUGAUUUGCAUUUCUCUAAUAAUUAACAACGCUGAGUAUCUCUUCAUGUGCCUAUUGGCCCUCUGUAUGUUUUAUUUGGAGAAAUGCUAUUUCAUCUUCUAAUUGUAAUUUUUAUUAUUGCAUAAUGCUACAUCUAAUUUGAGCUCAUAUUCUAGAACUCUUUUUAGAAACCUGUAUAUGAACUAUGGGAAGGGAAAUGAUUUAAUAAGGAAGUCCUCAGAGUAUUGUGUUAUCGCUUUUUCUGGAACCUGCUAAGCAUUUGGUGUGGGGAUAUACUGGAAAAAAAUUUGAUAGGAAAUUUACAACUUACUACUAAAAUAUGCUUCUGUUCCUAAAAUUAUACCAAGUGAAUGGAACAGACUGUCCUUUACUAACGUAACAAAAUAACCCUUAUUAUAGCUAUGUCUCUGACAGGAUAAGGAUGAGACGAUUUGAGAAGGGGAAGGCUGCAAGACACUCAUCUUUGACUUUUAGCCUUGUUUUCUUUCCCCAUAGAAAAAAAUUAAACAUAUUUUUGUGAAUAGCCCGUCACUUCCCACUUGUAUAAACUUUUAGCCCAAUGUUAUAGAAAUCAGAAAGUUUCCAUAGACUUUGUGAGUAAAAUUAAAACUGUUAACAAAUUUCAACUCGAGCUUUUCAUUGCUAAAAUCUUUCCAAACAGCUACCCAUGAUCUUUAAUCUUUUCAAUAGGUCAUCAGAUUCACCUGAUUUCUUCCUCUUUGGUAAGUGUUACCUUAUAUUCUAGCCCCUUGCACUUCCCUUCUGCCCUCCAAAAUUGAGCUCAUAUGAGAUACAGUCACCUAAGUUCUCUUGGUUACUUGUCUUCGAGGAUAACCAGGAAAGCGUCUCUAAUAACAAAAAGUCCCCAUGAUAAUUACAAAAUUGCAAACAUAGGAAUCACAAAACUUUCACAUUUCUUAUAAAGGCAAUUCCUAACCUGCAUCUAAAUUAGUACCUGAAACUCCCAUGGCUUUCUACUCUUAGUUUUUUUCAUCCUUGCAAUAGGAUUUACCAAAACUCUCAUCUCUUCUCACAUUCCAUCCUUCUCUGCUGACAAAAAAAGACAGACGGAAUGCUAAGUAUUAUCUUGGCUCAGGAUUUUCAAACACCACUAAAUUAAUGGACAACCACUAAGCUAGAUAUUGGCCUUGCUCAAGAAUAAUCUCCUUUGACACAUUUUCUCCUAAGGCUCAUGGUGAUUGUUUCCUAUUGAUUAAGGACAAAAGGACUAAUCCCAUAGAAAUGUCCCCUGAUGGACUCCCACGUUAGCCUAUGCCAUGAAUCCAGCUCUUUUCCUUUCCUAUGACUGAGACCUCAUUUUAUAUGUCUCCACUGGGAUUUCAUUCUAAGUCAGUCUAAUGUUAUUCCUCUUCAGGUUUGGGGUUAGCUGGAAAAGUCACACCCCACCUUCGUUCCCAAUUCCAUUUAUCUCUAUCGUACAUAGUAGAAAGAGAAAUCUUAAAAGCUUGUAAAGGAUAAAAAUAUAGCAACAAAUCAUUUUCUCUCUUCCCUAUCUGAACAUUAGCUCCGGCCACAAGCAUGGCUUCAGGACUCCAAACUUCAAGUUUGCAUCCCUAAGACCACAUUUACUGUGCUUUCUGUAGAGUAUCUGAGUGAGAGGUGGGGUAGAGGAUGGGAAUACAGACCUUCUUUUUUCUUUCUUGGGGAGUAAUUUGUUCCAAAAGGGUUUCAUAAGUCAGAUCAAGGACAGAUUAAAGAGAAAUAGAUCACUGCAAUCUCUAGGGGCUAUACAACUGACUUUAUCAGCUGUAGCUUUCAAGGAAAUUAAUGAAAUAUUGAUUCUAUCUAAAAACAAAGUAAGAAACUUUAUCUUACUAUUUACAACAUAAAUGGGAUCAUUUUUCACAAAUUGACCUUUAUACCAGCCAUUUUUUUCCAGCCACUUUUUCAUUAGAAAAUAUAUCAACAGAAGGCAGUGUGUGUGUGUGUGUGUGUGUGUGUGUGUGUGUGUGAGAGAGAGAGAGAGAGAGAGAGAGGGAGAGAGAGAGGGAGAGAGAGAGAGAAUAUGAAUGACUAGUGGAGAUUCAUAUGAUAAAUAUGAAACUAUAAAUCUACUUUCAAGACAGCAGGCUUGAAACCCUUGAACACUGCUUGGAGUUUCUUGUUGUCCACAUAAAUCAGAUGGCAUUUCUAAGACAGUGUACCUACUAUUUGACUACAUCUUACACAGAGUAGAGAUGGGUUUGAAGUUUAUAGGAAAUGGGUUUCUUUUCCACUUGUAACACAGACAACUUUAGUUCUGAUAAGAAAGCAACUGAAUUUGAUUUCAUCUGAUAGUUUGAAGAUAACAUUAAAGAAUGGAAAAACUAGAUCACAGGAAUAUUACAUCAGUGACUAGCAGAAUGUUUAAAUUGAAAAUAAUCUGUGGCAAAAGAUGUUGAUGCUAUUUCUAUUUCUACUACUUCAAUAUCUAGAGAAGUUAUUCAGUACAAACACAGUGCCAAUGAAUGAAAGAGGAAAAAUAUGUACCCUAAAGGUGCAAAUACAUUACUGUGUUUUUAUUACAUUUUCCUCAUAUUACCAAAAAAAGGUAAAAUUCAGCCUCAAACACACCAUUACACAAUUAUAUGAAAGGUGAAAAAUUUCUCUAAGUGUUCCCUCCAAUAACAUUUCCAACAUAACCACUUUUAGGACUUUAGCAAGACUCCUCCCUGAUUUUCCUAUGCUUUUUCUAACUCUCUCUUACAUUUUUACUUUAUAUGGUCCCAUAGUGUUUCAAUACUUUUAAGUAGUUAUUUUUAAUUAAAAAGGAUAUAAAAUGUAUAGAGUAUCUCUCAGUAUCUAUGCAAAUAAUUAUAGGGCAAACAAAAAGUCAUUGAUUGAUAACUUUUAUCUGAGAGCUUUUAGAAGGUCAUACUUGUGCAGCAGCCUAACUACUCUUUGGUCUACACAUUUUAAUACUUCUAGCUGGGACAUGAAAAGUUGAAAGUCGGUAAAAAACAGAGCUACCCACUUAAUUUCUUGGGAAGGGAGUACAUGAUAAAGGUAUUUGGAAUUUAGGUUGGGUGUACGAGGGUGUAUACUCUACUGCCUGGAAAGAGUUGAGAGCUUAUCUAUCCAAAUUUACUAAUUUGCAAAGAGGUUGACUUCUUGAGUGGGGGAAGAGACUGGAAACUAUGUUAAUGUACUAAAUGGUGUACAGACAUAUCUGAUCAACAUGAGUAGCUUCACCAGUGCAGAUAACAGAAAAGGGCAACAGGGACCUGAAUGGAAGGAAGAGUCUAGAAUUGUGAGUUUAGCAAAAAGUCCUGUUGGUAUAAGGAUAUAACUGAUUUUGAAACGUAUUCCAGUUGGGAACUUUGGGGAUAUUUGUAUGACGGGACUGAUAACUAAAUGUGUGAAUACAGAAAAAGCUAUAACCUUUGGGGACUCAUGCACCGUUGCUGUAGAGUAUUCCCUGACUAAGUAAAAGAUAUGGACCUAAUAAAUAGGUGGAAAAAAACAUUCAUCUCACCUCAUAUAAUGCUGAUGCCCAGGUAAACCAGGAGGCAUUCUCAAAGACAGAGGCAGCAGUGGUGAUGGUGACACUCAAGGUCAUAGGGACUGGUGACUGCAGGAAACUGCCCCUCUCAGUGGGUGCCUGGGGCCAUAAGAACCUGCCAGGCCACCUUCUCAUGUGGCAAGUGGAGAAAGUUCCAUCAUUAACUACCAGGAGAGUUUAAGGCAUGUAUGCCCUUGCUAAGGACCUUUCCCCAAAUGAAGCAUCAUGCAGGAAGUGUGGUAUACAGUAAUGGAGCUAGGAGUAGGGUUUCAGCUCCAAGGUGGCACCUUGGCCAAGUCUGCUAGGCUGGGGAAGAGUACCAGUAGCAGAAGGAGGCAAAGGGACAGAACCGAUAAGACAAAGCUUGUAAACACCCUUGAGAGUCCUGGAAGACAAUUAAAGUGGUGCUCCUCAUAAGUAGGUAAGCAGGGAUUUGGAACUCAAAGAUUUGAUUACAAAUGAAUAGUAAUAUUAAUAUUCCCACAUUGUAUUUGCUUUGUCAUGAGCGGUUGAGGAGAUGGUUCCCAUUUCACCCAGGGUGAGUCUUUUUUUUUUAUCUUUUUGUCUUUUCUAGGGCUGCUUUCAUGGCAUAUGGAGGUUCCCAGGCUCGGGUCGAAUCGGAGCUGUAGCCACCAGCCUACGCCAGAGCCACAGCAACACAGGAUCCAAGCCACGUCUGCAACCUACACCACAGCUCACAGCAACGCUGGAUCCUUAACCCACUGAGCAAGGCCAGGAAUCGAACCCCAAACCCCAUAGUUCCUAGUCGGAUUCGUUAACCACUGCACGAAGAUGGAAACUCC